GGUUGGGCGCCAGGCGCGUGCGCGUCUCUGAAACGGGGACUUGGGAGCGCGCGCUGCCCCUCACUUGGCUGCAACUGGACCCAGAACUAGGGAAGAGGCCAGGGACAGAUUUUUUUUUUUUAUUUUUAUUUUUUUUGCCGAGGGACGUUUCAAAAUUUUGCACGGCCAGGGUGACAAAAAGAGGAUUUAAGAGCCACAAGCGGUCCGCACAUGACCCAGACUUCGUUCCUGUGCGGCUUCCAGAGGUGUUCAUGCAGAAGACUGGAUGCAGGACCCUUGGUGGCACCAGUGUGCAGAUGAGCAGAUAGUGACUGAUUGCCACUGGGAUGAAAUUUUUAAAAAAGAACCUUGAAGUCUGUGAGUGACCAAUCAAAGAUGAAAAUUAAUAAUGGAAGACCUGGGAUAUACAAUCAAGUCUAAAGCCUAGAUAUCUGGUUAUUUUAGAAAAGCUUCAUAGGCAAGUGUCAGUGGAGCUGUGUUAUUUGAGCUGAGCUGCACCUUGAAGAACCAAAAAAAUUAUAAAUGGACAAAUAAGACCAAGUGCCUACACCAAAAGAAUUCUAAUGCUUAGAAGAGUUGCAGAAUAAAAUAUGUUGCAUGGGAUGUCAAUAGUAAAGGUCAAGAUAGAGGACAAAGAAACACAGAGGAAGGAGGUUAAUGGAAUGAGAGAAGAAAGUAUUUUUAGAGGAAGUUGAUAUUUCACCUGAGUUGUAAAAGGUAUGUAGGUAGAGAAGAAAGGUAAGUGAAAGGGGUAUAGAGCCACUUCUGACAGAGGGACUAGAGGUUACAGAGACAUUGAAAUGCAGGAUCACAAAAUCAUCAGAAAAUAGCAGGUAGUUCAUAAUGGCUGGAGCCUGGAACAGAGAUCCCAAUGCACAGGACGUGUGAGUGAGCCAGGGAAUUGGUGAGGGAGGAUGUGUACCCAUGAGAAAUGAGUCUUGUGAUUAGCAGCCAAAUGGACCUCAAAUGAAACUCUCCCCUUGACUCUAUUCACAGGAAUUUUCUAACCAUUAUCUUUUACCCCUCUUAUG
rnacentral:lncRNA from 10 species